GCAUCUUGAUGGCAGAGCAUCUGCUUUGCAUGCAUAAGGUCCCAGGUUCAAUCCCUGGAAUCAAUU